AUUGUUUUCACGUGUACUUCGAAGUCAUCUCAUUUGAAAUUAACUGUCAUAAUUGACUAUUUGGAAUAUUCAACCUAAAUACUACCCGCUGCUGUGGUGACGGGGGGUGGAGGAAGCGUGGUGGAACCCCAACACCUAGUGAGGGGUGGCUGAUUAAUACCACGGCUCACAACAUAACAGAGCGGCUCAUUCCAUGAACAACCCCGGGGGGAUUUCGAAUUCUAUCAUCUGGGCAAAAGAUGUGAUGAGUGUAACUUCCUGUUUUCUCCAAACUAAAACACUACGCAGAUUCCUGUACCGCUCUGGGACAGAAAUCCUCAGCCAGAGCAGAGGCCGUCCCCAGAGUCCACACUGUUUCCUGCAUAAAGUGGGUUAUCUCAGAAGAAACAUCCCACUGGUCUGUGUGAUCCUUCUAUUGAAAUGUGGUCUUUUAUCUACAUCUAAGUAUCUCUAGAAGUAAUGCGUUUGUAUGUACUUGUCACUCAGAUAUGUAAUCCCUUAAUUUGUGCGGGGUUUUGGGGUGUGAAAAAUUCUUGGUUUAUAUCCUACACUUUUAAAUAACCUCGUCAAAACUUACAUGUAUUUAACACCUUUUUUUGUGAGCACAUGGUAAGGUUGGAAGUAAAAAUGGAAGGUUUAUCCCUGUGGCCCAUGUUUUCCAGUGUACCUAUGUGGGGUUUUAAAAAAAUGUCCCAAUUUCUUCCUUUUACUGGAGACUGCGUUUUUUAGACAACAGCUUAUCUUCCUAUUCCCUAACCAGUCUUCUCCAAUCUUACCAUUCAAUAUAGCCUCCUUUUCUGUGACUUCCUCCAGCUGAAUAGAAGGGCUGAGUGGGUCAACCUUCCCUGUAUUGUUUGUUUCCUCCACCCUCUCUUUUUCCUUAAUAGCAGUAUUUGGUCCACCCACACCACCCUCUCUCUUCUCACUGCCUCCAUUCCUGGUUCUUAACUCCUUUCUAUUCUUUACUCUCCACCUGCCUACACGAUCAUUCUUAGCAGCAAAUUUAUUCCAUCGACUUUUACGUCCACUUAACAUCCAGAUUGCAUUUACUUUGCGCAGAUAACCUUGCCGCCUACCUCACAAGUCAAGGCCACCUGCUGCUCUCUUUCUACUUUAAAACAUCCUUCCUCCAUCUUUACCCCCCAACUCAGCAAAAUUGAUGUCUCUCUCGGAUGACCCAAAGUUUGGAGGGAUAAUUAAUUUGAUAGAUGUCAGAAUCAAAGUUCAAAACAGUCUCAACAGGCUACAACAUUAGGCCAAAAGCAAUGAAAUAAAAUAUAACUUUCAAAUCUAAAUAUGAUGUACUAGCUGGAAAAGCCCAAGUUUUAGAUUUUAGACCUUGGUUUGUAUCUAGUUACCCAAAUUUGAGUCAUAUCCAGUAACUCAAAUUACUAUCUUUUGCUCUAGUAAGGUCAACUGUUAAUUUGAGAUAAAAAUACCUACUUCAUAAGAGUGUGAAGAGUAAUUUAUUUAUAAUUCCCACGUAAUUCGUGGAACAUUCACCAACCAUUAGUUCCCCUCCCUUCCUCAUCGUCCACAAAGUGGUUGUCUCUGUUGCCAUUCAUAACACAUUCUUUAAUUCAUACAGACCUGGAAACAGACUCAAAAUCCUGGCCCGUUCACCUUGUAUCCCAGAGCUGUCACCAUCGUAGAGAAAUCGUUUGCCUCUUUUGGGUCAGUCAUUAUCAUCAUCAUACCCAUUUUUUCAAUGAAAAAACCUAAGGCUCAGAGAUGUUAGGCAAUUUGCUCCAAAUCACUCAGCCUGAUCAGUGGCAUAACCUGACCCAGUGACUCAUGAUUCUGUGUAUAUCC
rnacentral:lncRNA from 1 species